GGACCGUUAGCUCAGACAGGUAGAGUGGUGGACUCUUAAUCCAUUGGUCGGGGGUUCGAUUCCCUCACGGUCCG
rnacentral:tRNA from 1 species